CAGCGACCGCACUGGAAAACAUCAUAGCAAUCUCUUGGCGCAGCUGUGGCCGCCGCCAUCCUCAUCUUCCUCACCUCAAGAACGUGUGGCGCCUCUGGGAAGCCAGCUCUGGAUCGGCAUUGCUGAUGGUGUGAGCAUGGCUGCCUUUUUCUCUCUCUCUCUCUCCCUAAUUGAGGAUUACUUCUUACUUCUACUGGUCUCAUGUUGCCUCUGUCCUACCGCUUUUGAGGUUUGCGCACCACGAGCCUAUCAAUGGCGGCAACUGCGGAGCUACCGGCUUCAGAAAUUAGACUAUCACCACAGAAACCAUGUCGAUCCGCUAUUGUCGCUUAAUGGAUGCUUUCACAUUGGUCUUGCAGGCUGAAGUUUCUUGCGGCUUUGAUGGAAGAGAUCGGCAGUUGUUUGCGCUAUUGUUGGCGGUGCUCCAUGAAAUUUCAACCAGAGCAAUUUCGUUCGUCCGUUGUACAAGAGAUGCAGGGUGUAUUUAGAUGAGAAAUUUAAGCACAUGCCUUGCAUCGAUAACCUUGCACAUACAUAUGUGAAGUGAAGUGAUACCAAUUUGAAACGACUAAGUUGUACCAUUAAAAAAAUGGUGAAUAAUUUUUUCAGAAAGCGAGUAAAUAACACAUAUAUGGUAAUUAACUUAUAUAAAUUCGAAUGGUAUCUUAUACUGGAAAAUGCAACUUCCCAGGCAUAACUGAAAUUAUGAAGACAUGCAGGAUGGAAAGUUUAAAUUUUCAACUAAUUAUAAUUUUUAUCUUAAUUUAUUCUACUUCGUGCGAUCCAUAUUACUUGAGGAUAAAGUGGAUGUAUCUCCAACUAAAAUGUCUCUAGAUACAUCUAUAUUAGCAUAGUAAUAUGAAUUGGAGGGAGUACAAAUAUUUUGACAAAUGGAGAGCCACAAGGUAAAACUGAAAUUAUUAUGAUUUAUAGGUUCAAUGGUGUUAUAUUGGAUUUGUGAGGUAGUCUCUAGCCCGUGCAGUAGCAGCACGCCUAGCCUAGCGACUUCCACCCGCGGCGUAACUCUUCGCCCUUGCUACGGAGGAAAAGAAAUACCUAACCAUAGCCUUAACAUACGUUUCCGGCGAAAGUUCGAUUCCACGGCCAUAGCGCCUCCCUGGUGCGAUCCUCUGAUUUCCCGCAUCGGAUAGCAAGAUAGCAACGCAGGACCUUGCAGCGAUUGAUUCUUUUUUGUUGUACUCAACCUUGCAGCAAUUGAUUGAUUUUGCUCGACUACCCUUCACGGAUAUCAGAUCUGAUGUAGAACUUGAAUUGAUCCUCUCUCUACCACGUGUCUCCUCGCGCUAACCUUGCAGCCUCAAACAGAUCGAUGAAACGGCCGCUGCUGGUGUUAACCGCCGGCUGCCGGUGUUGUUGCCAGCAGGCGAGCCAGAAAAACUAACACUGCAGGUUUACAGAUGCAGCAGAUGGACACUGGUGCCUCUGGUGCCUCGAUCAAACUCACAUUUGUGCAAAGUAACCCACACAAAGGGUCAGUACAAUGAGUUUGGAACAGACGUGGGCAGGCCCUAUAUACAGUGGGUACCAAAGUUUAUUUCAUGUUCAUCCUACAUAAGGUAAAUCCAGAAGCUAUACUGGUCAUUUUGUGUUUCACUUCCUAAUUAAGUUGGAUAGCAUGAUAAUCACGUUUUCCACUGAUUGGUUAACUGUGCAAAGUGGUGUUGGUCUGAUUGCUUCAAUUUUUCUCUCAUCUUCCAAGCAUCGGCAAGAUACAACAUGUCCAGAGAUCUAUUCAGUUUCAGGUAACUCAGAGGAUUGUAGGAACAAUGGAAAAACGUGAAUCCAUCUACAAAAAAGGAAGACUAUUGGCGGAGUUCUUUUCAAGGAAGGAUGUUUAGGUGAUGAAGUCACAUAAUACCGGGCGAGCGCGCAUCAUCCUGUGGCUGUAGACUAACUAAUUAGCAAAUAGUGUGCAUUUCUUAAAGUAUAUACCAAUAGCAAUCAAAAUCAUUGUUCAACCUUCUAGAUAAACUAGCAAUCACGUGUUUGCUUACCAAUAAUUGCUUCAAUUUGUAUCCUUGAGACAAUCUCCAGUUU